AGGACACCAUUGGCCUUCUUGGCCACAAGGGCACUGCUGGCUCAGGGACACCUUGGUGUCACCAGAACCCCCAGGUCCCUCCUGGCAGAGCUGCUCUCCAGCAGGUCAGUGGUAAUGUUAAGCUUUUACCCCAAAGAGUGGAACCUGAUGUAUGUCUGUAUUUUUUUUACCUUCCUUCAUGUUAGUGAAGAACUUGGAAUUUGGCAGAAGCACUCCAGAAUUAAGGAUAAUUUUUGGUCAUGGAAUAAAGUCCUGGGGUACAAU